rnacentral:misc_RNA from 1 species
CCUAUAACAGUUCUAUUUCAAUAAUAUGCAAUUCUGAAUUCCCUUCCUCACAAGCCAAACAAAAUUCUCGAUUUUUCGCUGAAAGGGAGCGGGUUAAGGAGGCUGUUAACUCGGGUUAACUCAAAAUGCUGGAGCGGUGUCUCGGGACUCACCGAGUCCUUAGGAUUCAGAGAGCGAUUCGCCGCGGAAAAGUUACCCUCUUUUGCCUCUUCAUGACCUUUAUUGUCUUACGUGGUUCCAUCGGAGCCGGCAAGUUUGGUACUCCAGAGCAGGACUUCAAUGACCUCCGCGACCACUUCUAUGCCUCCCGCAAGCACGCUGAGCCCCACCGAGUCCUCGUCGAAGCCCAACCCGCCACCCAACCCGCCACCGAGUCAACUCAAAAUAACGAUAAUAAUAACAACGAUCCGAACAAUUAUGCUACAUUUGAUAUCAAUAAGAUCUUGGUGGAUGAGGGGCAGGACGAGAAGCCAGAUCCGAACAAACCAUUUAGUCUCGGCCCGAAGAUUUCGGAUUGGGACGAGCAGAGAGCUGAGUGGUUGAGAAAAAACCCUAAUUUUCCCAAUUUUAUUGGACCAAAUAAGCCGAGAGUUCUUUUGGUGACGGGUUCUUCGCCUAAACCUUGUGAGAAUCCAGUCGGG